ACGAAAGCACAACGUGCUCCGCUUGUCGCUGGCUUCCCUUUGCGGGGUCGCAUGUGCACGGCGGAGUUGCGUCUUUCCACUACACCCCUGUGCACCCACGCGUGGGUUCCCCCUUCGCCGGGGAAGCCCGCGUCCUCUUUACGAACGUAUGGAUUUAGAAUGGCACUUGCGUUUACGCAACUUAAUA
rnacentral:misc_RNA from 1 species